UGGUGCUUCAAAAAUAGACGUGAGAUUUUAAAAAUAGUUUCUUCCAGCUACGGGAAUGUAGGCUCCAGUUAAGCAGACUGACAUCUGGCGAAUUAAGUUGCCAUGGUAACAGGUUUUCAGGUCAAGCCUGGAGACUGGGUCAGCCCUCCCCUCUGUCAUGGGAACAGUCUUCCAGGGGGGUCAGUGAAAAGAACAUCUUUGACAACACACACUUUCAGUCAAGCCACCAGUGCCCUAAGGUCUCUACCUUUUGUCAUCUUCAUAUAAAAGCUCUAAGAAAGAAUUCCUUAAAAAAGAAGCCCUCAGGUGUUCACUUCCUGUGAUAUGUGAUCAUAGCUAGCUUCUACAAAUGGCAGGGGCAAAUUUUCCUAAAAAUCUUAACUUUUGUAUUCCAGCAUAAAUACUUCUAAUUUCUCCUCUGCAGGAGCCACUAUGUGGAGAAGAACCUUUAAAAUCAAUAGCAGAAGUUGCUGGCAGUGGUUAUCUCAGGAGGAUGGGACGCAGAGAUUUUCACUUUCCGUGUCAUGUAUCUCUGUGACAUUUACAUUUUAUUAAGCAGAUAUUUCUUUUUUGCUCGAGGAAAGAAAAACAAGCUCAAAUUUUAAGAAUUUGAAAAUAUAUAAAUCAGAAGAAGCAGACAUUACUUUUACAUAGAAUGGUAAAGUUUUAGGGUUUCUUUAAAAGUCAGUUGAAGGGAGGCCGGGUGCAGUGGCUCAUGACUGUAAUCCCAGCACUUUGGGAGGCCAAGGCAGGUGGAUCACUUGAGGUCAGGAGUUCAAGACCAGCCUGGGCAACAUGGCAAAACCCUGUCUCUACUAAAAAUUAAAAAAUUAGCCAGGCAUGGUGGCACAUGCCUGUAAUACCAGCUACUCAGGUGGCUGAGCACAAGAAUUGUUUGAACCGGGGAGGUGGAGGUUGCAAUGAGCCAAGAUUACUCCACUGCGUUCCAGCCUGGGCGACAGACUGAGAUUCCACUUCAAAAAAAAGAAAGAAAGAAAGAAAGUUAAUUGAAGGGAAAAAAAGCAAAUUCUGGGCCAGAUGUCCUGCUUAUGUCAUUAAGAUUUUUAUUCCCGUGACAUACUGAAGACACCCAUUACUCCAUCUCCACCAGACAAAACAGAUGAGCCUCCAAACAAGGUGAAAGCCCCGAAAAUCUCUUCCACAUCUCUCUCAGCCACACAGCACGAGUAUUAAGGAGAAUUUAUUUCCAUGGUUUUUAAGUCAUGAAAUCAGCAAAUUGAGUUUUCAAGAAAAUCAAAACGUAAAAACUAGAGGUUUAAAAGUCAUCCAACUGGUAUUAAAUGUCUAAAUGCGAUGAAAGAUGUGGAAACAAACUGGACUUCAUUCCUUGCAAUUUCAUAAUUCAUAGCCUAACCCUAGGACUAAGACAGCAACACUGCACACUUGAAUAUGUACUGAUUUGCUUCUGCUAAAGUCAAAAUGACCUGAAUCUCUGUCAUCAAUAAACAAAUCUUAGAACAAACAGUGCAACAUGCUGGGACAAUGCUGAAGUAGAAAGAGGGCCAGCCUGGGGUUGGACCAGCGUGUCUCGACCUCAGCACUACUGACAUUUUGAACCCGUUAAUUAUUUUUAUGGGAGGCUAUACUGUUCAGCUAGAUACCAUUUGU
rnacentral:lncRNA from 1 species